AGUUUAAAAAACCACAACGCGUUUCGCCCUUAGGCUUUAUCAAAUGGAGAUCUCCACUUGAUAAAGCCUAAGGGCGAAACGCGUUGUGGUUUUUUAAACUAUAUUUUUUUAA
rnacentral:miRNA from 1 species